rnacentral:rRNA from 1 species
AGCAAGCGUUGUUCGGAUUUACUGGGCGUAAAGGGCGCGUAGGCGGCCAGCACAAGUCAGUUGUGAAAUCUCCGAGCUUAACUCGGAAAGGUCAACUGAUACUGUGCGGCUAGAGUGCGGAAGGGGCAACUGGAAUUCUUGGUGUAGCGGUGAAAUGCGUAGAUAUCAAGAGGAACACCUGCGGCGAAGGCGGGUUGCUGGGCCGACACUGACGCUGAGGCGCGAAAGCCAGGGGAGCGAACGGG